rnacentral:rRNA from 1 species
GUCCACGCCGUAAACGAUGAAUGCUAGCCGUCGGUGAGCUUGCUCUUCGGUGGCGCAGCUAACGCAAUAAGCAUUCCGCCUGGGGAGUACGGUCGCAAGACUAAAACUCAAAGGAAUUGACGGGGGCCCGCACAAGCGGUGGAGCAUGUGGUUCAAUUCGACGCAACGCGAAGAACCUUACCAGGCCUUGACAUCCCGAUCGCGGCCCCUUUAAAGAGGGGCUUUCAGUUCGGCUGGAUCGGUGACAGGUGCUGCAUGGCUGUCGU